AGGGGAGGUUUAGCAGCACGGGCAGCUGGGCGGCCCCAGCCUCUCCGUGCCCAGGACAGAGCCGGUGGCCUGGUGGCGGCAGGACAGUGCUCCAGGAUCGUGAUGGCUUUGGAAAAGUUGUGAGUGAAUUAGAAAUGCAAACUGUGUGGAAAGAAAGGACGAGAGAGACGUGGCCUGAAGGCUGUCCCAAGGACUCAUCCUGACAGGUAGGAAGCAGGGCUGCAGUCCCAUGCUGCCUUUCCAGCAUGGCUUUAUCUGAAGUCACCUCCACUUCACCAGAUAAAGAAAGUGAUAUUGCCCCUGCAUUUUCCAACCAUACUUCCCAGGAAAUCUGGGCUGUGCUUCCAGAACCUCCAGAUUUGAGUGUGCAUGUUUUCUAACAUAAUUACAUUUCAGAGUUGAUUGCUUAAAGUACCUGCGAUGAGGUCACAUCCAUAGCAAAUGGACAGGGAGAACUUACUUGCUUUUUAUCAUAGCAACCAGAUGCUUGAAAAGAGUUCUCUUUCAGUCAUCCUUUCAAAAAUCCUACAUGAUCUCAUACAUUUGUGUCCCUUCAACUUAGCUGCGUGCUUUUUAACAUGUUUCAUUUAUUUUUAUCUUAUAGUAUAUGAUUCAAAGGGAAAAGCAGCACAGAGCAGCUGCAGAUAACCUAGUGAGGCCUGAUGUGCGCCUAAGAUAAGGAUGCUCAGAGUUAAGCAUGCAAAUCAGCUUUAUCCGAAGCCUGAACUUAAGAGAAGAUGACUCAGGGAGAAGUGAAGGCGAGUGCAUACCAGCACGUAUGAAAAUUUUGAUAGCAUCAGUCCUGAUUUUUGCUCUAGCUUUCUGUGUUUUCUCUAGUUCUAAAGGGGAGAGCUAUGCUGCUUCCAAAAGUGUAUU